rnacentral:rRNA from 1 species
UACGGAGGGUGCAAGCGUUAUCCGGAAUCACUGGGUUUAAAGGGUGCGUAGGCGGCUUGAUAAGUCAGAGGUGAAAGCUAGCAGCUUAACUGUUAAAUUGCCUUUGAUACUGUUGAGCUUGAAUCAGGUUGAGGUAGGCGGAAUGUGACAUGUAGCGGUGAAAUGCAUAGAUAUGUCAUAGAACACCAAUUGCGUAGGCAGCUUGCUGGGCCUGCAUUGACGCUGAGGCACGAAAGCGUGGGGAUCAAACAGG